rnacentral:rRNA from 1 species
AACUAACGCUGGCGGCAUGCCUAACACAUGCAAGUCGAACGGAAUCUUAUAUGUUCCUCGUUUUGGAUUUAGUUCCAAGUUGAGGAACAAUAAGAUUUAGUGGCGGACGGGUGAGUAACACGUUGGUACCUACCCUCUAGUGGGGAAUAACUUCGAGAAAUCGAGGCUAAUACCGCAUAAUAUCUACGGAUUAAAGCAUUUAUGCGCUAGAGGAGGGGCCUGCGUCUGAUUAGCUAGUUGGUGAGGUAAAAGCUCACCAAGGCAACGAUCAGUAGCUGGAUCGAGAGGUUGACCAGCCACACUGGGACUGAGAUACGGCCCAGACUCCUACGGGAGGCAGCAGUGAGGAAUCUUCCACAAUGGACGAAAGUCUGAUGGAGCAAUGCCGCGUGCAGGAUGACGGCCUUCGGGUUGUAAACUGCUUUUAUAUGGGAAGAUUAUGACGGUACCAUAUGAAUAAGGACCGGCUAACUACGUG